rnacentral:rRNA from 1 species
GUGGCAUACGGCUCAGUAACACGUAGUCAACAUGCCCAGGGGACGUGGAUAACCUCGGGAAACUGAGGAUAAACCGCGAUAAGUCACUACUUCUGGAAUGGGUAAUGACUUAAAUCUAUAUGGCCCCUGGAUUGGACUGCGGCCGAUCAGGCUGUUGGUGAGGUAAUGGCCCACCAAACCUGUAACCGGUACGGGCUCUGAGAGGAGGAGCCCGGAGAUGGGCACUGAGACAAGGGCCCAGGCCCUAUGGGGCGCAGCAGGCGCGAAACCUCUGCAAUAGGCGAAAGCCUGACAGGGUUACUCUGAGUGAUUUCCGUUAAGGAGAUCUUUUGGCACCUCUAAAAAUGGUGCAGAAUAAGGGGUGGGCAAGUCUGGUGUCAGCCGCCGCGGUAAUACCAGCACCCCGAGUGGUCGGGACGUUUAUUGGGCCUAAAGCAUCCGUAGCCGGUUCUGCAAGUCUUCCGUUAAAUCCACCUGCUUAACAGAUGGGCUGCGGAAGAUACUAUAGAGCUAGGAGGCGGGAGAGGCAAGCGGUACUCGAUGGGUAGGGGUAAAAUCCGUUGAUCCAUUGAAGACCACCAGUGGCGAAGGCGGCUUGCCAGAAUGCGCUCGACGGUGAGGGAUGAAAGCUGGGGGAGCAAACCGGAUUAGAUACCCGGGUAGUCCCAGCUGUAAACGAUGCAGACU